GUCCAAGUAAUUUAACCAAAAUACUGGCCUUGUAAGCCAGCAAUGAAGGACCAACCCUUCCUAGGACA
rnacentral:tRNA from 1 species